CAUGUAGGCGGCUUAAUAAGUCGAGCGUGAAAAUGCGGGGCUCAACCCCGUAUGGCGCUGGAAACUGUUAGGCUUGAGUGCAGGAGAGGAAAGGGGAAUUCCCAGUGUAGCGGUGAAACGCGUAGAUAUUGGGAGGAACACCAGUGGCGAAGGCGCCUUUCUGGACUGUGUCUGACGCUGAGAUGCGAAAAGCAGGGUAGCGGAAC
rnacentral:rRNA from 1 species